rnacentral:misc_RNA from 1 species
UUUUUAAUAUUACUUGGUAAAAUGAGAAAAAAAAAAAAACUAGCACAGCUUUAGUUACAUUCUCCGUGAUCCUGAAUUAGGGUAGUUGUGAGCUCCUAAAAAUGAACUACAUAGCUUCAACCUACCACCCACUUGAUUAACUUAUCGUCAUCCCCUUCCCUAAACUAAACUAACUAGUCAGCAUCCGCUUAUAUAUUACAGUAGAGAUCACAUGCUAUCAAUAUGAAUCAGCAAAAUUAUUGGUUUCUCAACCAUGUUGUUACCCACUCCCGACUCUACUCUAUGUACAGAACAAAGAAGCACCAUGCCAAUGUGGAGAUGUACAAAGAACUAUCCCCAUAAUCAGCUUCCGAGUCCUCCACAGAUGGUCAAUGCAGCAUUGCCUUGUUAAAGGCAUUAUCUAUCCAGCAGCUGGAGAGGAUGCAGACACUUUCAUAGCGAAAGUUGAAGGAUGAUCCUUGACAGAAUCCUGAUGACUGCUGCCAAGAGAAAUGCCAUUGCUGAUUUUUUCACCCAUUCCAUGUCCGGCCAAUGUUUGAUUACCUGCUGAAAUAUUGUCACCAUCAGAGCUCAACAUCUGCUGCCUAAUAUACUGCUCAGAGGCAUCUUGAAGCAUCAUCUUCAUCAUGCUUCCAGAAUCUGAACCAGGUGACAACUCUUCCUCUCGCUCUGGCUGGAUAUUCAGGUCUAUUUGGCCUUUAAAAGGUGAAGUGGAAGACUUAAUUCUGUUGGGAUCAUCAUCAGAACCUUCACUGACCACCUUUUUCUUGUUUGGGCUGCUACNNNNNNNNNNNNGCCCAGUGUUAGUAGAUGGCGAGGGGUCAUCAUCCAGCAACUUCUCAGGCAAGGUUUGCUGCUGCUUUUUCCUUGUAGUUUCUGCUUCUUUCUCUGAU